GUAGUCAUAUGCUUGUCUCAAGGAUUAAGCCACGCAUGUCUAAGUAUAAGCAAUUAUACCGCGAAACUGCGAAUGGCUCAUUAUAUAAGUUAUCGUUUAUUUGAUAGUACCUUACUACUCGGAUAACCGUGGUAAUUCUAGAGCUAAUACAUGCUAAAAACCCCGACUUCAGGAAGGGGUGUAUUUAUUAGAUAAAAAACCAACGCCCUUCGGGGCUCCUUGGUGAAUCAUAAUAACUUAACGAAUCGCAUGGCCUUGCGCCGGCGAUGGUUCAUUCAAAUUUCUGCCCUAUCAACUUUCGAUGGUAAGGUAUUGGCUUACCAUGGUUUCAACGGGUAACGGGGAAU
rnacentral:rRNA from 1 species